rnacentral:misc_RNA from 1 species
GAUGAAGAACGUAGCGAAAUGCGAUAAGUAAUGUGAAUUGCAGAAUUCAGUGAAUCAUCGAAUCUUUGAACGCACAUUGCGCCCUCUGGUAUUCCGGGGGGCAUGCCUGUUCGAGCGUCAUUAUAACCACUCAAGCUCUCGCUUGGUAUUGGGGUUCGCGGUUUCGCGGCCCCUAAAAUCAGUGGCGGUGCCUGUCGGCUCUACGCGUAGUAAUACUUCUCGCGAUUGAGAUCGAUAGGUCUACUUGCCAGUAACCCCCAAUUUUUACAGGUUGACCUCGGAUCAGGUAGGGAUACCCGCUGAACUUAAGCAUAUCAAUAAGCGGAGGA